rnacentral:misc_RNA from 1 species
CAUACUCUCAGCCCCCAUCCACU